rnacentral:rRNA from 1 species
CAGCUCACUGGUCGAGGGUUUGGGCACGGAAAAUAAUCGGGCAUCAAACAUAUAACCGAAGCUUUAGGCCUAGUAUGUAAAUACUAGACGGUAGGGGAGCAUUCUAAACUGCAUCGAAGGUGUGUUGUGAGACAUGCUGGAGCGUUUAGAAAAGAAAAUGUAGGCAUAAGUAACGAUAAAUAAGAUGAAAAAUCUUAUCGCCGUA